AGUUUGAUCCUGGCUCAGGACGAACGCUGGCGGCGUGCCUAACACAUGCAAGUCGAACGGGGUUGAGUGCUUCGGUAUUCAACUUAGUGGCGAACGGGUGAGUAACGCGUGAAGAACCUGCCUUUCAGUGGGGGACAACAGUUGGAAACGACUGCUAAUACCGCAUGACACUUUUUGGGGGCAUCCCCGAGAAGUCAAAGCUUUAUGUGCUGAAAGAUGGCUUCGCGUCUGAUUAGCUAGUUGGUGGGGUAAUGGCCCACCAAGGCGACGAUCAGUAGCUGGUCUGAGAGGAUGAUCAGCAUCACUGGGACUGAGACACGGCCCAGACUCCUACGGGAGGCAGCAGUGGGGAAUAUUGGACAAUGGGCGCAAGCCUGAUCCAGCCAUGCCGCGUGGAUGAUGAAGGCCCUAGGGUUGUAAAGUCCUUUCGGCGGGGAAGAUAAUGACGGUACCCGCAGAAGAAGCCCCGGCUAACUUCGUGCCAGCAGCCGCGGUAAUUCCCUGUGUGA
rnacentral:rRNA from 1 species